rnacentral:rRNA from 1 species
AUACGGGGGGGGCAAGCGUUGUUCGGAUUUACUGGGCGUAAAGCGCUCGUAGGCGGCUUGUUAAGUCGGAUGUGAAAGCCCCGGGCUCAACCUGGGAACUGCAUUCGAUACUGGCAGGCUAGAGUAUAGUAGAGGCAAGUGGAAUUCCGGGUGUAGCGGUGAAAUGCGUAGAUAUCCGGAGGAACAUCAGUGGCGAAGGCGACUUGCUGGACUAAUACUGACGCUGAGGAGCGAAAGCGUGGGGAGCAAACGGGAUUAGAAACCCCAGUAGUCC